rnacentral:lncRNA from 1 species
GGCCUGGGAGAGGCAGACCCACCCUCAAUCUGGGUGGGCACCAUUCUAGUCAGCUGCCAGCAUGGCUAGAAUAAAGCAGGUAGGAGAAGAUGGAAGAGCAGACUUGCUGAGUCUUCCGGCUUUCAUCUUUCUCCUGUGCUGGAUGCUUCCUGCCCUUGAACAUCAAACUCCAAGUUCUUUAGCUUUUGGACUCUUGGACUUACACCAGUGGUUUGCCAGGGGCUCUCAGGCCUUUGGCCACAGACUGAAGGCUGCACCAUCGACUUCUCUCCUUUUGAGGUUUUGAGACUAAAACUGGCUUCCUGGCUCCUCAGCUUGCUGGCAGCCUAUUGCGGGAUUUUAUCUUGUGAUCAUUGAGAAGCUGGUGUGUUCCUGGAGAUAAAGCCCUGGAAAGUGCAACUGGCUCUCUGAGACUGCAGCUCCCAGAAGCUUCUCACCCUCACACUAGACCACAUCCAGCCUCCUGUGAUUCGUCACAAUUACUGUUCCAGGGCUUGUACCAGUUAAUGGCUCCAGCACUCCUGCUCCAGGUAAACAGAUCUGUUUCUGUAUCUCUCUGGAUGUGUCUGUCUCUUCAGAUUUCAGGGUGUCAUUUUCCCCUCCAACUUCAGUUUUCUGAUUGGCCCAAUAAAAUCAUAAAACUUCAUUUUGUUCUUUUGUUGUUGUUGUUAUAAAGAUAAGAGUGACUCCUGUUAAGCUCUUUACAUGUCAAAGCUAGAACUUAAAAAUCCCUUAAAUGCAUUAUUCUAAUUCGCAGUUCCGCUUGUAAACCAAAAAGAAAACCCUAAGCUCCCCAACCAGCUGAGUGGACUUCUUAUGGGCCAAGGGAAACCUGAAAAACAGAAUCCCCAAUCAUGACAGGAAAGGAGUUUGGACGCACCUCAUUAUACCCUCUCUCUUUUGGAGUUUAGGCACAACCGACCAGCAUUAACAUUAACACAGAGAUCAUGAAACUGAUCAAAUAGACUCUUUGUGGCAAUAAGACACUAAAUUCCAAGUUGACUCUGCUAUAGCAUCACAUGACAAAUAGCAGGCCCUGAAGGAAAUAAAAGUAUUUUACACCAAAAUAUAUUUCUUGGACAUAUUUUGAAAUGGCCCCCACUUCUGGGGUAAAUUUGCAUCUGUAGAAAAUCCCCUUCCCUUUCUAGUUCUUUCCUGGAUUUAGGAGAGAUUUAACUAGGUUCUGAUACACUUUAAGGUCUCAAAAGAGACAUUUACCACCUAUUCUUUCUGAAGUCAGAUACUUAGAGGCUUCAUCUACAUAACAAGAACUGUGGCUUCCUCAAAACCCCUUAUCUUAACUCAAGCAUGUCUUUCUAGUGACUUCCUAAGUCUUUAGACAAAGCUUAUCUCUCUCAACCAAUUGUUAGUCAGAUAAUCUUUAAAUCCACCUAUAACCUGUGAGCCCCUCCAUCAAAUUCACGAUAUCCCAUCUCUUUAGACUGAACCAAUGUAUACCUUGUAUGUAUUUAUCUAUGUCUUUGCCUGUAACUUCUGUCUCCCUAAAAUGUAUAAAGCCAACUGUAACCAAACAACCUUGAGCACACAUUCUUAGGACCUUUUGGGACUGUGCUUGGACCAUGGUUACUCAUAUUGACUCAGAAUAAACAUCUUUAAAUAUUUUACAUAGUUUGGCUUUUAACAUCAAUACCCUUAAUAUACAUUUUUUAGUUGUUUUCUUAGUUUAUGCCCUGGGGACCCCAAUUAGUAUUUAAACAUAAAACAAUCAAAAACAUUUUCUUCCUUACUAUGCAUAUUUAGUAAGUGAGGAGAUCCAAAUUUCA